GUCUCAGGCCGUAUCAGCCUGAAGGCGCCCGAUCUCGUCUGAUCUCGGAAGCUAAGCAGGGUCGGGCCUGGUUAGGAGUCUUGGAUGGGAGACCACCUGGGAAUCCCGGGUGCUCGAGGCU
rnacentral:rRNA from 1 species